ensembl:lncRNA
UAAUUAGCCUUCAUGCAUAUGGAUGGCACCGCAGAUUGAACGCGGUGGAGGGGUCGUGACCUGACCCGGGUGAGGCAAGCAGAAAGAAAGGGCUGCUUUCCCCAGCUCGGUCCCUAAUUGAAAGCCCAGUUGCCGGGCGCAGCGCCGGGGUGUGAUCGCCGCCGCCCCAUUGCUCCUGCAGAAGAAACAUUUGCGGGGGUGGGAGCGGGGGGAGUCACUGUCCCCGGCGCCCGGCCCCCAUUAGCAGCCAUCCCCCUGAUCUGUCGCCGUAAUGAUAUCUGCGCUGGGAAUUGACUCCGCAGCUUUCCUUUUCCGUGAUGGUUUUCAUUUCCUGUCAUUUAAAGCUGGAAGCCUUUAUGGAAUAUCACAUGGUUUUCGUUUACACAGGAAAUCAGCUGCAGUUGUGAGAAGAUGCCGACUUACUUUUUUGUUUGUUUGUUUUUUAAUCCUCCCUCCCUUAAAAAAAAAAAAAAAAAAAAGGAAAGGGGGCAAAAAGCGCCAGCUUGCAGUAUUUUGUUUUGAAACAGUUUUCCUUUUUGAUCCUAAGUCCCUCUUCUCCGAAGUGGUCUGUGGUUAUACAGAAAAGCAGCAGUUUCUUUCUGACACGUGGUAAUCACUUUACGUGAAGAAAGCCCAGCGCCAAGGGAUGCUCUGGCUUUUUCCAGACCAAGGUAGGGGCGGGGGCGCCGCGGGACCCGCUGCGAUCCGCUCUGGGAGCGGUGGACUCGGCGCCUAUCCUGUGAAGAUGGCACGUACUGCCCAGUGAACGUCCUGGGACCCCUCUGCCAGAACCCGAAAAGAGCGGUGUCCUGCCCCACCGCCCCCGCCGACCACAAUUCGAAGUCUUUGACCUGGCCCCAACCCCUCACCCCAGCAAUUGGAGAAUCGCUGGGCUUUAUAAUGGGGAUUGAGGAUGGCAUGGAAGAAUUCGCGCUUCAUUCUUUAAACGCCGCCCUCCAGUUACUACUGAGUUAGGCACUCCAGACUGGAAGCACCCCAGACCUCCAAGACCUCACUCCGCGGUCACCCUCUCUCCCCCGGCGUUCCCCAUCCUCCCCGCCCGGAGGGCAACUAGACGGCCCUGGGCAACAGCGCCACCUGGUGCCCAGCGUCCGUCCCCAAGCGAUUUGUUUUCCGGGAUGCUGAACAACCCACCUUUAGAGAGUAAGGGUGCAGAGUGGAUUCCGGGCUACAGAGCAGCCGCCACGGGGAAUUGACGGGGUCCCCAACUCCUUUCCUCUUUUCUGAAGGAGCUUAAAAUGCAGGGGACAGGAGUUUGUCCUUUCCUGUCAUUUCCUGAAACACUCCUCAAUAACAGACCCAUUCCUUUGAUUUCAGGCUGAGCCCUCAAUUAAAUGGGAACUGCCCUUGAAGAGAUGCGACUUAAGCAGCUAUUUAAUUUUAUUCUUUAUUAUUUUUUAUUAUUUAUUUAUUUAUUUAUCCUUGGCUGUGCUGGGUCUUCAUUGCUAUGCUGGCUUUUCUUUAGUUAUGCUGGCCUUUAGGGAUGACCGAACACCAAACUUCAAAACUCACCAAGGUUCCUUGGAGGAGGAGGAAGGAGCAGUUUACUUGCCCACCGGCAGGAGGUGCUAGAGCCAGUGCCACGCUUGGGAGCGCCGCUGGACUCGAGCCUGGAGGGUACCUACGAGGUGGCCUGCCUAGCCCUCCUUUUGCAGAUGUGGAAACUGGGCCAAAGCGGUGACAUGACUAUCCAAGGUCACAUGGACAGAACUGACCCCAGGCCAGUCUAAUGUUUGAGGCCAACACCCACUCUCAUUCACUCUGUUGUUCUGUCUCAUCUUUUAAGUGUAAACCACUGGGGGGGUGGGAAUCAAUAUAUCCUCAAUUAAAGUAAAAUUCUUCAAUAAAUAUCUGACAUUAAAAAA